rnacentral:rRNA from 1 species
UACGUAGGGUGCAAGCGUUGUCCGGAAUUAUUGGGCGUAAAGGGCGCGUAGGCGGCACGGCAAGUCGGGAGUGAAAGGCCUGGGCUCAACCGAGGAACUGCUUUCGAGACUGCCGAGCUAGAGUGCGGAAGGGGCAACUGGAAUUCCCAGUGUAGCGGUGAAAUGCGUAGAUAUUGGGAAGAACACCUGAGGCGAAGGCGGGUUGCUGGGCCGACACUGACGCUGAGGCGCGAAAGCCAGGGGAGCAAACGGG